CUGUCGCACGUGCAGCUCGUAUAAUUAAUGAAUAAUUUAAAUAUUUAAAUUGAGUGUGUACAAAGUACUCAGAGUUACACAACUGCACCAACAGAUGGCAGUAUAGGACUGGAAAUAACUCACGGGGUGUGGUCUAUAACCACUUCAUCUAGUUAGCGUUCAGUUAGUCACACUGUUGUAAAUCACGCGUGCUCGAGACGGAGUGAAGAUUGUUCUUGGUGUUUGCUAUAAUUUGUGCUUAUUGUGUGCGUUAUUGACAAGAAACCACACAUACACACAAACACACCUAUCAGCACACCAAUUAUAAAUGCUUGAAAGUUCUACAUCCAUCAACCAGAUUAAAGUUUGUUUUUUGA